CAGACCUCUGAUCAGAGAAGACUACCCGCUGAGUUUAA
rnacentral:rRNA from 39 species